GAGGGGAAGUUCAGAAAGUAAAUAUCUGGAUCACACAGAAUGCUUCCUGGCCUUUGUCCUUUUUUCCACCAAACCAAUGUGAAUAUUAACCGAUGGGUAACCUUCACCUUCUGUAGAGAAUGUGCAUUGGUUUUGAACACAGUUGGUCUUGCUGUAGUGUGGGUGCGUGCCAGUCAUUGUGUUCAUGUUUGUUUGCAGAUGCUGACUUACCUGAUUGCAUGUGAGCACCUGUGUCAGCUGGGUUAUGACAUAACUCUAGUUGAAGAAGCUCUGGAGAUGUUUCAAAACUGUGAAACCAAAGCAGAGGAGUUCUUGUGCCUGUUGAGUCAGUUCAAUGAAAUGGGCUUCCAGCAGAACACCAUCAAAGAAGUCCUUCUGGUCCAUGAAAACCACAGGGAGCGGGCGCUGGAGGAGCUGAUGAUGCGUGUGUCUUGACAGCACACCACGAAUGCAGGGCCAAAUAUGAUUUGAUAGAACUUGUUUUCAAUGAAGGACAUUCAAGAAAUCAGGCAGGAGUAAUUUCUGAGGUGUUUUUUUACAUUGGCUAAAGGUGGAGAAGGAAAGAGAAGAGCAUUCUUACUCCGAGCUCACACGGUAACCGUUCCAGCUCAGGUGUGAAGCAGCAGCAGUCUGACCACAGCAGAUGACUCACAGCAGCUGCAGCCACAGGCUCUGCUGCCGACCUUGCUGAACUCCGAACUCACGCUGACCUCCGCAUGGGCAGCAGAUGUCUGAUCGACUGGCACAUUCUGCCUGACCUGCCAUCAGAGGGGAGAGCAUGCAAACUCCACGGGGAAAGGUCCUACCGCCAGAGUGCUAAUCAAACAACACGAGCAGCACACCGUGCUGCCCGUGGUGGUGGUGUUGUUUCUGUGUCUUUGUAACAAUAAUGAAAACUGUGAUUCUUGGACUUACCAAGUCUUUGAGAUUGUCUUAAUUUUAUUCAGGCUGCACUAUGAGGUUAUGCCAGAUUGUUUAAUGUCUUUACAUAUUUGGUGUUUUUAAAAGUGAAGGACUUGAAAGCAGUGAUGAGCCAGUUGCACUUCAAGUUGUUCUGCAUACCACAGGAGUUUUGCAAGUCUUUGCAUUGAAGUCCAAGUCUCAAGUCAUAAAACUUAGUUAAAAAUGAUAUUUUACUGUCUGAAAUAAUCAUUUAACAGCCCCUAGGAACACAAUAAAAGGCUUCCACAAAUGGAUGGCACCUCCAUGUUUUAAAAAGGGACACUAUCCAUAUGUCACCACCAUCAAACUGGUUUAACCCGGUUUUUGACCGUAGAACCCGAAAAUGAACUUCAAAUGUGGGUAGCAACCUGGGAAUGUGAGAGUUUUGAACACGGAAGCUGGAAACACACAUAUGUGUUUACAUGGACUUUUCAUGAAAAUGGUCACUUGAACACUCGUUCUCGAGCCUGUUAUGAAAGUACCAUAAGUAUCUAUCUCUGCUACUAACGGUAAAAUGUGAAACUUUUAGACAAAACGCCAAAGCCAAACAUUAAGGUUUGAUGUCAAAUAUUUUCUUUUCUGAAGAUGGCAACAGAAGCAACUCUGCAAGUUGUUGAAAUUGGGUUUCUGUUGGAUACUAAAUCUUAUCACAGGAAUUAAAAAUGGUAAUCAACUCAAUUUGGUUGUAAAGUUCAACUUUUUUUAAAAAACAAAAGUCAAAGUCCACUUGCUGAUCAUAGGCUAAGAUGGAGGUCUACUAAAUUUAAACUUUGAACUGAGAGCUCUGGGCUUUUAAUUGUUACUUGUAGUUUCCAGCCCUAGAAAAACAAAACUGUAAACCUUUACUAAUUGCUUUAUGUUCCAGAGUAAAGUAAAAGGGGAACCAAACCCUAAAUCAACGUUUUUUGUCUGUUGAUCUCUAUAAAUGUGGCUUCAAAUGUGCUGUCUGUUGGUCAUUGCUGAAUUUUUGACAAAUUAAAAUAAACUUGGUUGAUUUUUGAAAAUAUAGUCUAAAACCGUUUGUGUGCUGCCCCCUACAGGUCAAAUUGAGGUAUUAUAGUAUUUUAUUUUUUUUUACAUUUUAGACAAAUCGAGUUUUGUGUGAGACUGAAGAAGAAACAAAAAACAACCACAAUGAGGUUGGGCUGCUGCACAGGUCUGGGUCUACCCGCGCUGGCAGCAGAGGAACAAGGAGCAGCCUCCGCUCCAGCGGGCUCAGGAGGAGAUGGGAGCCCCAGACAGUGAUUCCUGGCAGACACCGAUCCAAUGUGAAGGUCCAAUUUUGUUGGGGAAAAUCGGAAAUUCGCCUCUAAGUUGUGGGUGGAAGUAACCCUCUACUGAUAUCCCAUCAUGCCUUUUAUUUACACUCUCUUGCAGCCCCUCACAGCACCAAGCUAACAUUAGCGGUGCAACAAAAAUGGCGAGCAAUAUCGAACUUUUGCAGCUCUACAGUUCAGAUCCAGAUUCCAGUUCAGACGAGGAAAACAAAGACGUUCAUGGGUCUGUUUGUCUGCUAGUGGAUGCAUCAGAAUGGAGCGGAGCAGGAAGCUUGUGGCCUGAAAUGGCGAUUUCUCAUCUUAAUUUCCAUCAUUUGCCACAACUUGAAUAAAAAAAAUACUCAUAAAAAAUUUAAAAUUGUAAUUUUCUUCUAUAUUCUCCAUCCUGAACAUCUUAAUUCUUUUUCUGUCCAUCUGCCCCCCUCCCCCCUCUAUCUGGCUUUCUAUCCAUCUGUUAGUAUUAGCAGAAUAUAUUAAAAGCUAGUGUGGGUGAGAAAAUAAGUAAUCUUUUUGUAAACACACGCACACACAUUUGCGAUU